UUGUCUUUUAAAUGGAGACCUGUAUGAAUGGCAUAACGAGGGCUAAACUGUCUCCUUCUUCCAGUCAAUGAAAUUGAUCUCCCCGUGCAGAAGCGGGGAUAUGCCCAUAAGACGAGAAGACCCUAUGGAGCUUAAAACGAAAGAGCAGACCAUGUUAAUACACCUUAACUAAGAGACCAAACUAAUUGAAACCUGCUCUAGUGUUUUCGGUUGGGGCGACCACGGAGCACAAUAAAACCCCCGUGCGGAACAAAUGUACCACAUUUUAAAUCAAGAGCAACAGCUCUAAAUAACAGAACUUCUGACCCACAAGAUCCGGCUAGACCGAUCAACGAACCAAGUUACCCUAGGGAUAACAGCGCAAUCCCCUUCUAGAGCCCACAUCGACAAGGGGGUUUACGACCUCGAUGUUGGAAUCAGGACAUCCUAAUGGUGUAGCCGCCUAUUA
rnacentral:rRNA from 1 species